UCUUCUGUCCUGUCAGCCUCCAAGUCCACCGUGAUGUCAUUAGCCUAACUGUGAUGUCACCAUGUUUCACAUCCCUGUGGGGUAGCUCAGGCAUAGAACUACAGCCUCUUAGCCAGGGAACCUGUGCAGAUACCCGGACCCAGAUGAGAGACCCAGGCCAAGGCAAGUCCUCAGUGACCACAGGGGGGCUUGGGAAGUGCUUGUGGGUGGGAGAGAGGAUUCGGAGCCUUCAGGGACAAGCGGGGGGCACCAGAGAGGCCUUUGACAAGAGCUGGAGGGCUGGACAAGGGUCUUCAGGCUCCUGGUUCAUGGACGCUUACUUUCUUCUUCGUUCUGUUAAUUACAAGAUAAAACAUACUAGAGGUAAACAUUUCAAACAGCAGAGAACAAAAAGACAAAAAAAAAAAAAAAAAAUGGAAGCUCCCCUCCUUCACAAUUUCCUAGGGACCAAUGUGAAUUUUUUUGGUGUUUAGCCCCUGACAUUUACAUAUGAACCUACAAACGAGUAAGUGAACUUUUUAACUUUGUUUUUAUACAACCUAGUUUAUAAGAUACAUAUACUUUUCUGUAGCUCUUUCCAUCCAACAAUCUGCUGUGACCAUCAUUUCAUGCAGAACAAACACAUCUGCCUCCUGCUUUUUCCUGAUUGCAUAGUGUUCCACAACAGGGAUGGACAAACUGGCAUUCCUGUAUUGUGGACUCCUCAAUUCUUCCCUCUUCCACACAAGGCUGGAAAAGACCUCCGUAUGGAAGUAGUAUGCAGAGUGAUUAAGAACACUAGCUGGGACUUAAUCCCAGCUCUGUGACCGUACGGCAGGAAAACUGAAACUCAGAGAAAGAAAGUGACUGGCUUCAGAUCACAAGACCCAAGUUGGGACUGCAAUGUCCCAGGGAGACAGGGGAAGCCCAAGAAAGAAUUAUUGGAGGGCCACUUUGAAGAGGUAAAAAGAGCCACAAGCGUGGAACAGUAGAGUCUGGAUUCCCUUCAGGACUAUGAGAACUCUGUCUCGGUCACUGGACUUCUUGCUGGGAAUACAGCCUGUGGGAAUACGAUCUAGACCUUGGAAAUUCACAGUUCAGUUAUCAGAAGGCUUGCUGGUUGCUGCUGAAAUAGAAAGCGGGAUACAAUUCUCAGGACUUACUAUUAUUAGAAUAGGCACCCUCUACUUUGGGAAGCAAAGCACAGCCAGGGGUGUCGAGCUGACUUGUUCAGUAAGAGGGAGAAACAAUGGGCCCACAGGCAAAAGCCCUACUUCCUCUUUGAAAACCUCAAAAACUUCUCCAGUCCAUCACCAUGGCCACCUCCAAACGUUUGGCCAGCCGGCUGAACUCCUGGCUGGCCCAGCGCAUGGGUCCUGGAGCUCUGUUGCAUGGAUAGUUUGAAGGACAGCAGGUAUGCAAUCCAGGUCAGGAGGAGAUCUGGGACCAUCACUGGUUCAGAAGUUAAGCAACUGUGUGCGAUGUCACUCCGAGGACAGAGUUAAGGGUGGGGAGCUCCAUGCUCUCACCUCCCUCUGCUCUGUGGUUGACACCUUCCUCCUUCUGCCUGACACCCACUUAUCUCAUCUCCCUGGACAGUCUGUCAGAUGCAAUGAGUUCGUUUCGGCUUCACACCCCAGGGCGGGGAGAUCCUGAGAUAGGGCGCACCAGCUUUCACAUCUGCAGAAGGGGCCUCAAAUUCUUGCAUCUUCUCCUGCAUCUACCCAUGACCUCCCGGUCCUGAGGACAAAAUUAAGAGAUGUCUUCAAACGACAUCUGAGUCAUUCCACCCAUCCUCUCAUCUCACCCUUUCCAAGUGGAUAGGUGACACACUGGAUUCAAAUCCAGUAGGACCGAUACACUCUUAACUGCUAUGCAACGCUACAGAGCAUGCACGUGGAUGUCCUUGGCACCCCAAGAAUGACUAAUGUCUUUAUC